GUGCUCACUUCUGCAGCACAAGUACGAAAAUUGGAAUGAUAGAAGAUUUAGCAUGACCCCUGCACAGGAAGGACACGCAAACUCGUGAAGGGUUCCAUAUUGAA
ensembl:snRNA U6 U6 spliceosomal RNA